GUUCUUGCUUAGGCAGCACACAUACUAAAAUUGGAAUACAGAAAGGAUUAGCAAGGCCUCUCUGUAAGGAUGACAUGCAUAUUUGUGAAACCUUCCAUAACUUU
rnacentral:snRNA from 1 species